AGAGUUUGAUCCUGGCUCAGAACGAACGCUGGCGGCAGGCUUAACACAUGCAAGUCGAGCGCCCCGCAAGGGGAGCGGCAGACGGGUGAGUAACGCGUGGGAACGUACCCUUUACUACGGAAUAACUCAGGGAAACUUGUGCUAAUACCGUAUGUGCCCUUUUGGGGAAAGAUUUAUCGGUAAGGGAUCGGCCCGCGUUG
rnacentral:rRNA from 1 species